rnacentral:tRNA from 1 species
GAGGGUGUCGCUCAAAUGGUAGAGCGCAUGCUUAGCAUGCAUGAGGCCCUGAGUUCAAUCCCCAGUACCACCG